rnacentral:rRNA from 1 species
GACGAACGCUGGCGGCGUGCUUAACACAUGCAAGUCGAACGGUAAGGCCCUUCGGGGUACACGAGUGGCGAACGGGUGAGUAAUAUAUCGGAACGUGCCCAGUCGUGGGGGAUAACGUAGUGAAAAUUACGCUAAUACCGCAUACGAUCUACGGAUGAAAGCGGGGGAUCGCAAGACCUCGCGCGAUUGGAGCGGCCGAUAUCAGAUUAGGUAGUUGGAGAGGUAAAGGCUCACCAAGCCGACGAUCUGUAGCUGGUCUGAGAGGACGACCAGGAACACUGGAACUGAGACACGGUCCAGACUCCUACGGGAGGCAGCAGUGGGAAAUGUUGGACAAUGGACGCAAGUCUGAUCCAGCCAUUCCGCGUGCAGGACGAAGGCCUUCGGGUUGUAAACUGCUUUUGUACAGAACGAAAAGGUCUCUAUUAAUACUAGGGGCUCAUGACGGUACUGUAAGAAUAAGCACCGGCUAACUACGUGCCAGCCGCCGCAGUAA